GUCGGUGGAGCGAGGUGGUCCCCGGUUAGCAUUGAGGCAGAUUCUUACAUCCUCCUCUGUCUUCAGUUGGAGAAGGAAAAAAAAAAGAGAGAGAGAGAGAGAGCCACAGGGAGACCUACUGGAGGUUCUUUAGCCUCUGAGGUACAGGAAAGACCCGGGGGCUGAGCUGGCUGUGUGGGGAAGGAGAUGGCACCAGGGUUCAGAGCCUCCACAGUCUUUCAGGGCUAGGACUUAGAGAUUCGGGGUAAAGUGCAGAGCCCAGUAGCUGUGUUUGGAACCCAACAUAUCUCAAGGACAGAGUAUGGGCUGGACUGUGAUCCAAGAUCAGGCACUACUGAGGCUGAAAGAGCAGCUGAAACGGACCGUCCGUCUGCAACCCAGUGAUGAGCCCAGGUGAGCUCUGCACUUCGGGGGCUCUUUGUUCCUUGAGAGGCAUGGAGGACUAUGCUCCAGUGACUGGGAAGGAAGAACAUGCCAGCCCCACGCGCUUCACCUAGCCCACAAGGACAGCCCGUACGCAGUGUUCACACAGCAUGUGGUCUGUGGUCAUUCCUGGCAGCCAAGGUUUGGGAAAAGCAGCCUCUGCCUGGGUCUGCCUCUGUUCUCUGCUCACAGCUCUCCACCCCUGCCAAGGAGACUGUGGUUGCUAGCAGCUGUGGACACUUUCCCACAAUGCAGUUCUUCGUGAUGUCUGCUAAGCUGGGGGGGGGGGGGUCUUCUCUGAAGCCCUGAUUCCUCACUCUGACUUUCCCACCCUUUCUUCCUUGACUUUUCUCAAGGGAGAGAAAGGAGAAUGGAUACAUCUAUCCAUCUAUCUAUCUAUCUAUCUAUCUAUCUAUCUAUCUAUCUAUCGACAACUGAAGAUGGGAAAAGGGUAAUUUUUUUAAAAAAAGCUAAUGACCCUGUGUAUUUAGUUUAUGUGGGAUUCUGUUCUGUUUUAUUGUUUGAGCUGUCUGUCUUAACGUCACUAUCAAACUAUUUGAAUUAUUAUAAUUUUGUAAUAUAUCCUUAGUCCAAUAGUGCUAUCCAAUUUUACUUUUUUGGGUUAAGAGCGCUUUACUAUUGAGUUUUUUUUCUUUUUUUUUUAAAGUUUCCCUAUGAAUUUUAGGACUUUAUUAUAUCCAUAAAAAUAUUAUUUGAAAUUUGA
rnacentral:lncRNA from 1 species